UAUGUGAUCGUCUCUCGCAUAUCAAUAAGCGGAGGAAAAGAAACUAACAAGGAUUCCCCUAGUAACGGCGAGUGAAGCGGGAAGAGCUCAAAUUUGAAAUCUUAAAGGGUUUCCCUUUACGAAUUGUAGUUUAAAGAAGUGUUUUCUGUUGAGGUUUUGGUAAAAGUUCUUUGGAAUAGGACAUCAUAGAGGGUGAGAAUCCCGUAUUUGACCUUUACUUUCAACUUUGUGAUACACUUUCAAAGAGUCGGAUUGUUUGGGAAUGCAGUCCAAAAUGGGUGGUAAAUUUCAUCUAAAGCUAAAUAUUGGCGAGAGACCGAUAGCGAACAAGUACCGUGAGGGAAAGAUGAAAAGAACUUUGAAAAGAGAGUUAAACAGUACGUGAAAUUGUCAAAAGGGAAGCGUUUGACACCAGUGUUGUUUUUCUGAAAAUCAAUUAGAGAACUGUUUAUGCUAAGUUGUUUAGACUUUAUCAGCUAACUGUUUAGUUUUGAGCUUUUCUUUAAUGCACUUUUCAGGUUAACAAGUCAACAUCAAUUUCUUUUGCUGUAAAAAAGCUUGAGGAAGGUGGCUUGAGAUUCGUCUUAAGUGUUUAUAGCCUCUUGCCUAUGCAGUCGGAGAGAUUGAGGUCUGCAGCGUAGAUCCUUCGGGGCUAAAUGCAUUUGUGCUAAGUUAUAGCAUUUUAUAGACAACUUGUUGACUAUGAUUUGUCUUGUAGCUUACUCGCUUAUGUUAUUUUACCUACGCUUAGGAUGUUGACACACGCGCGUGCUCG
rnacentral:rRNA from 1 species